rnacentral:lncRNA from 1 species
UUUUAGAAAAAAAGAAAAGCAAAGAAAAGAAAAAGUAGCAUUUAGUUGCUUCGGCCUUUCUGCUUUUAUUCACAACUUCCAAAAUAAUGAACUUAGUUUAAUUUCACCAAACACCUUAAACACAAACAAUUAUAAAAUAAGAUGUUUUUUUCUUAAGCAAAACAGCCUUAAACCAGUACUAAAUGUAAUAUAUUGCAAUCCUCCUACCAAGCUCCGAAACAAGAACGGAUCAGCAAGAGGUUCUCCUGAGUUUUGCUUCUGGAAGAAGAGGAGUUGCACAAGGUUUUCACACGGUCAUACCAGCUUUCGACAAUAUCCGGCCAUCAGCACAAAAAUUACAAACAAACUGCAAAUUUAAACAAGCGAUAGCCGAGGUCAGUGAAGCAGUGGAAGAAAAACGGAAAACAAAAAGUAAUUUUAGUUGUCCUAUAUGGCAUUUAAAAAUAGUUCAAUUGUAACAAAUCCUAAGCAGUUCAUCCUGUUCACUGUUUGUAUGCUUAAUCUGCAGAUAAUCAUCGAAGAGUAUUCUAGGUUGGAUACUGGCUGUUAAAUGCCAUUAAUUCUAAAAUUCUAAAGUUACAGUUGAUAAUCAUCAAGAAAUUAGAUAGAAUUUAGUCCUGAAAAGGAUAGAAAGAAAACAACAAAUAAUAAAACACACAAUUACCUAAUGCAUGUUGAAUAUGAUGAUCAAAGUAUUAAGGAGCGUAACAAGAAAACUUGACUACUUGACAAUAGUCACUAACAUCAGUUGUACAAAACGAGUUGGAACAAAAAAAGCCAUAUGAGGGGCUAAUGCCCAUCAUAGUUAGUAGUAUACGGAACGGGUAUAGUACGUGAAUACACUAACGUGUAUUUUUGUGCAACUAAAGUCAAUUGCAACUGAAAGCUAGUACGGGUAUUGGGACAAGGACAGAAUACGCAUACCAGCCUCCAAGGAUUGAGCAGCAGCCGUUGUCAUCAUCUACUUGGCGUGAAGGAGGUGGGGUUGGGGGAGCUG